rnacentral:rRNA from 1 species
AGAGUUUGAUCCUGGCUCAGAUUGAACGCUGGCGGCAGGCCUAACACAUGCAAGUCGAGCGGAUGAAGGGAGCUUGCUCCUGGAUUCAGCGGCGGACGGGUGAGUAAUGCCUAGGAAUCUGCCUGGUAGUGGGGGAUAACGUCCGGAAACGGGCGCUAAUACCGCAUACGUCCUGAGGGAGAAAGUGGGGGAUCUUCGGACCUCACGCUAUCAGAUGAGCCUAGGUCGGAUUAGCUAGUUGGUGGGGUAAAGGCCUACCAAGGCGACGAUCCGUAACUGGUCUGAGAGGAUGAUCAGUCACACUGGAACUGAGACACGGUCCAGACUCCUACGGGAGGCAGCAGUGGGGAAUAUUGGACAAUGGGCGAAAGCCUGAUCCAGCCAUGCCGCGUGUGUGAAGAAGGUCUUCGGAUUGUAAAGCACUUUAAGUUGGGAGGAAGGGCAGUAAGUUAAUACCUUGCUGUUUUGACGUUACCAACAGAAUAAGCACCGGCUAACUUCGUGCCAGCAGCCGCGGUAAUACGAAGGGUGCAAGCGUUAAUCGGAAUUACUGGGCGUAAAGCGCGCGUAGGUGGUUCAGCAAGUUGGAUGUGAAAUCCCCGGGCUCAACCUGGGAACUGCAUCCAAAACUACUGAGCUAGAGUACGGUAGAGGGUGGUGGAAUUUCCUGUGUAGCGGUGAAAUGCGUAGAUAUAGGAAGGAACACCAGUGGCGAAGGCGACCACCUGGACUGAUACUGACACUGAGGUGCGAAAGCGUGGGGAGCAAACAGGAUUAGAUACCCUGGUAGUCCACGCCGUAAACGAUGUCGACUAGCCGUUGGGAUCCUUGAGAUCUUAGUGGCGCAGCUAACGCGAUAAGUCGACCGCCUGGGGAGUACGGCCGCAAGGUUAAAACUCAAAUGAAUUGACGGG